rnacentral:ncRNA from 1 species
GUAAUAGUAAAUACUUUAAUAAAAAUUUAAAAGAUUAAAAUAGGGAGAAAUUCUAUAUAAAUAGUAGUUAGAUAUAAACUAAUUAGUUUUAAGUUAUAAGGACAUUCUAUUUUAAAAAGGUAUUUAUAUUUUAUGUAAUAAAAGGGAAGCUAGUUAAUAUUCUAAUAUUUAGAAAUAAGUUUUAUAUAAUAAUAUAGUUAAAUAUAGAAAUAAUAAUAAAAGCUUUAGAUAGAAUUCUUUUUUCUUCUUAAUAAUUUACUAUUCUAGAAUUAGUUUAACUAGAACUAGGAUUUAAUAAUUAGAAAAACCUAGUAUUUCUAUUAAAUCUAGUAUAUUUUCAAUAUCUUUUAGGAAUCUAUAAGAAAGAAUAAUUUUCAUACUAGGUUGUAUUUAUAAUGGUAAUAGGUUUCUAAAUUAAAUAGCUUCUAGUU